CAAUAGCGUAUUCAAAUGUUGUUGCAGUUAAAAGCUCGUAGUUGGAUAUCAGAACUCGUGGAAUUGGCCCGUCGCCUUUGUGUGAUUGAGUGCUAGUGAAGCGGUUCUUUCUUUUCCGAGAAGGUGCUCUCCCUUUAAUUAGUGGUGGAGUUUUCCAACUUGGAUCUGUUACCUUGAAUAAAUUAGAGUGUUCAAAGCAAGCUUACGCUGUGAAUAUUUUAGCAUGGAAUAACGACAUAGGACUUUGUUGUCUAUUUCGUUGGUUUCUAGACUCGAAGUAAUGAUUGAUAGGGACAGUUGGGGGUGCUGGUAUUAUAUGGCCAGAGGUGAAAUUCUUGGACCUUCGGAAGACUAACAACUGCGAAAGCAUUUGCCUAGGAUGUUCUCUUUAAUCAAGAACGAAAGUUGGGGGAGUCGAAGAUGAUCAGAUACCAU
rnacentral:rRNA from 1 species